ACUCCUACGGGAGGCAGCAGUGGGGAAUUUUGGACAAUGGGCGAAAGCCUGAUCCAGCCAUGCCGCGUGCAGGAUGAAGGCCUUCGGGUUGUAAACUGCUUUUGUACGGAACGAAACGGCCUUUUCUAAUAAAGAGGGCUAAUGACGGUACCGUAAGAAUAAGCACCGGCUAACUACGUGCCAGCAGCCGCGGUAAUACGUAGGGUGCAAGCGUUAAUCGGAAUUACUGGGCGUAAAGCGUGCGCAGGCGGUUAUGUAAGACAGUUGUGAAAUCCCCGGGCUCAACCUGGGAACUGCAUCUGUGACUGCAUAGCUAGAGUACGGUAGAGGGGGAUGGAAUUCCGCGUGUAGCAGUGAAAUGCGUAGAUAUGCGGAGGAACACCGAUGGCGAAGGCAAUCCCCUGGACCUGUACUGACGCUCAUGCACGAAAGCGUGGGGAGCAAACAGGAUUAGAAACCCCUGUAGUCCCAUGAU
rnacentral:rRNA from 1 species